AGAGCGAACGCUGGCGGCAGGCUUAACACAUGCAAGUCGAGCGCCGUAGCAAUACGGAGCGGCAGACGGGAGAGUAACACGUGGGAACGUACCCUUUGGUUCGGAACAACCCAGGGAAACUUGGGCUAAUACCGAAUAAGCCCUUACGGGGAAAGAUUUAUCGCCGAAGGAUCGGCCCGCGUCUGAUUAGCUAGUUGGUGGGUAACGGCCCACCAAGGCGACGAUCAGUAGCUGGUCUGAGAGGAUGAUCAGCCUCAUUGGGACUGAGACACGGCCCAAACUCCUACGGGAGGCAGCAGUGGGGAAUAUUGGACAAUGGGCGCAAGCCUGAUCCAGCCAUGCCGCGUGGGUGAUGAAGGCCCUAGGGUUGUAAAGCCCUUUCGGCGGGGAAGAUAAUGACGGUACCCGCAGAAGAAGCCCGGCUAACUUCGUGCCAGCAGCCGC
rnacentral:rRNA from 1 species